rnacentral:lncRNA from 1 species
CUUCUGACGACCCUUUCAAGGUCUGGAGAUCAAUCACUAAUUGAAAGUCUUGCAACUCACUUGUCAAAACUCUGUUGAUUGACUUCUGGAGACUUCCUGUCUUUGAGGAGACUGUGUAAUGACUCUCGGACACUUCUUAUCUAUUCGGUGGCAGUGGAGAGACUCAUUGGACAUGUCUGGUCUAUUCAGUGACUUCCGAGCAACUGCCCAAUUAUUCUUUUUUUAUACUACUUGCUCUUCUCCCCCUUUUUUUAUUUUUCCUCUCCUUUUUGUUUUAUUGUCUUGUUUUUCUUCUCCCUUUUUACAUCACCUGUAUGCUGCUUAGUCCUCUCUCUAACUUUUUAUCUCUUGUUUGUUUACUCCAUUCA